GGGAUUGCCUUAGUAGCGGCGAGUGAAGCGGCAAAAGCUCAAAUUUGAAAUCUGGCACCUUCGGUGUCCGAGUUGUAAUUUGAAGAUUGUAACCUUGGGGUUGGCUCUUGUCUAUGUUUCUUGGAACAGGACGUCACAGAGGGUGAGAAUCCCGUGCGAUGAGAUGCCCAAUCCUAUGUAAGGUGCUUUCGAAGAGUCGAGUUGUUUGGGAAUGCAGCUCUAAGUGGGUGGUAAAUUCCAUCUAAAGCUAAAUAUUGGCGAGAGACCGAUAGCGAACAAGUACAGUGAUGGAAAGAUGAAAAGAACUUUGAAAAGAGAGUGAAAAAGUACGUGAAAUUGUUGAAAGGGAAGGGUUUGAGAUCAGACUCGAUAUUUUGUGAGCCUUGCCUUCGUGGCGGGGUGACCCGCAGCUUAUCGGGCCAGCAUCGGUUUGGGCGGUAGGAUAAUGGCGUAGGAAUGUGACUUUGCUUCGGUGAAGUGUUAUAGCCUGCGUUGAUGCUGCCUGCCUAGACCGAGGACUGCGAUUUUAUCAAGGAUGCUGGCAUAAUGAUCCCAAACCGCCCGUCUUGAACCACCGGAACC
rnacentral:rRNA from 1 species